ensembl:lncRNA Ufm1 ubiquitin-fold modifier 1
UGCCAUCAAGGAAGCUAGGCGGGCGGCUGUUCGCGGUUUGAGUACCAGGCGGUUCCACCAUGUCGAAGGUGUCCUUUAAAAUCACGCUGACGUCGGACCCGCGGCUACCGUACAAAGUCCUCAGCGUUCCUGAAAGCACACCUUUCACAGCUGUGCUAAAGUUUGCAGCAGAAGAGGUAAGUACGCCUGACAUUGCGUUUUUGUUUAUUGUGUAGGAAACGUUUUUCUGAAGCACGGCUCAGAGCUGCGGCUCAUUCCUCGAGACCGAGUUGGGAGCUGCUAAUGUAUGCUUCUUGGAAUGCACAGCCUCUCAGAAUGAACACUGGGAUUUGUUGUUGCUGUACAAUUGAAAUCAGGCAUUCACAGCACAAUGGAAGCACCGAGAAUCAGCGGAACAGGGAACCUUGACGCUUGUCCCUUCCUGUUCAUUUUUUCAUGGGAAGAGAGAAUGCCUUUGAGUGGAGGGUACCACACCACAGGUCACACCGUGGUGACUGCUGCCUCACCAGAAGAGAGUACCUCUGUGACAAAUGGACUGUGCUUUAAAACAAAAACAGCAAAACUGGAGGAUAAGUCUGCUAAUUCUUUUCAGGAGCAUUUGGAAAAAUUAAAAUUCACAGAAUCAUAUGUAUCUUCUAAUUUUGAAAUUUAAAAGGAUAAUUGAUCAUAGAAGCAUUUGGCUUGACAGCAUCUCUUAGUUAGACUUUUAAAUUAUAUAAUUUGUGAUGAACUUAAUAGGUAUUUGAAUGAACAGUUAAAUUUAUAUAAAACCAAACAUUGAAUUAUGGAAUCUAACCAUUGUAAGUUGCUGUUGUGCAUCGAAUAGCUUCAACAAUAAUGACCCUGUGAAAUCAAGUGUCAUGGUGGGAGCUGACAGUACCACAGGAGCACCCUUAGCUAUAUUAUGAAUUCCUUGAUAAAGAAUAAAGCUUUAAGACAGAAGUCCUUAAACCAUUAUUUUUGAAGAUUUUAUUUUUGAGCAGCAUCCAAAAGUAUUGUUGCAGAGAUGAUCUGAAGUGUUGAUGGGGUGUCCCUUAAUGAAGAGGAAACUUUAAAGAAGCUGUUAGCAUUAGUGACACGUGGAUAAAGAACCAGGGAAGCAAAGCCAGGCUUUUGCCAGAGAGCAGAGGAAGUGAGGGGGAGCAGGAGGCUGGCAGUAUCCAAAGUCAGGAUGGAGCUGUGGCAGGGGUGGAAACGUGUGAAAGGGAGAAGACUGGGCACAGGGUCAGAAGGCAAUUGCAUUACACAUCAAAACUCAGGGGAGCAAUCUACAAGGAUGGUGAAAGGGGGCUUGGUAGGGCUGACAGCCUGAGUUCAAGUGCCAGAGUGAAGGAGAUUACCAACUCCCCAGAGUCAUCCUCUGACCUCAUGCAGACACCCAGAUGUGAGCCAAUCCCCUCCCACGAUAACUAUUUGCCUUUACACAGGAAGUCCACAGCUGGCACAUGUUUCAAGAUGGAUCAAAUGCUGACUGAGGGAGAACUAGGCAGCUCUGCUUUAGUAGGGGAACUCUUUGGAGGUGAGGGGUCUCCCUAGAGGUAGAAGUACAAGUUCUCAAUAAAUACUAAGUUCAUUGAUAAUGUCUUCAGGACCAGUUUUUAUCUUGUGUCUCAUAUUCCUUAUCAUGGGGCUGUCUUAGUAGGAAGGAAUUGUCCUUAUCUACAGGUUUGCAGGUUCUGGGGUUCUGAAUUAUGUAGCAAUACGCAGCUCAUGUUUACUUGGGUUUUUAUGGUUAUGUCCAGUGCCUGGAGACCUUAUUCCUUAUAUUAGGCCUCUGCUAACCGGACAUUUAAAAAUAUUUGCCACCUAAUUCUGCUUCUAUUAAAUUUCUUCCAUUCUGCCUUUAGCACAAAAUUCUGCUUGUCAGUACUGUUUAUACAGACUUACAGUAUGAAAUGAUUUACCUAACAAACCAGUUCUUUAAUUUGAAAAUACAUAGUCUUGAAAAUAUUUUACUCAAAAACUAGGUAAUUUGUUAUUAAAUGUGAUCUGUAAGUUCAGAACAUUUUAGGCAUUGUAUUUAAUUUUAAUGUCUAUAAUUAAUACCUCAGGAAAAUACAUUUUGUUAUACC